UCAGACGAUGCGUCAUGCAUAUCAAUAAGCGGAGGAAAAGAAACUAACAAGGAUUCCCCUAGUAACGGCGAGUGAAGCGGGAAGAGCUCAAAUUUGAAAUCUUAAAGGGUUUCCCUUUACGAAUUGUAGUUUAAAGAAGUGUUUUCUGUUGAGGUUUUGGUAAAAGUUCUUUGGAAUAGGACAUCAUAGAGGGUGAGAAUCCCGUAUUUGACCUUUACUUUCAACUUUGUGAUACACUUUCAAAGAGUCGGAUUGUUUGGGAAUGCAGUCCAAAAUGGGUGGUAAAUUUCAUCUAAAGCUAAAUAUUGGCGAGAGACCGAUAGCGAACAAGUACCCGUGAGGGAAAGAUGAAAAGAACUUUGAAAAGAGAGUUAAACAGUACGUGAAAUUGUCAAAAGGGAAGCGUUUGACACCAGUGUUGUUUUUCUGAAAAUCAAUUAAAGAACUGUUUAUGCUAAGCUGUUUAGACUUUAUCAGCUAUCUGUUUAGUUUUAGGCUUUUCUUUAAUGCACUUUUCAGUUAACAAGUCAACAUCAAUUUCUUUUGCUGUAAAAAAGCUUGAGGAAGGUGGCUUGAGAUUCGUCUUAAGUGUUUAUAGCCUCUUGCCUAUGCAGUCGGAGAGAUUGAGGUCUGCAGCGUAGAUCCUUCGGGGCUAAAUGCAUUUGUGCUAAGUUAUAGCAUUUUAUAGACAACUUGUUGACUAUGAUUUGUCUUGUAGCUUACUCGCUUAUGUUAUUUUACCUACGCUUAGGAUGUUGACUGAUAUGUAGUCGUA
rnacentral:rRNA from 1 species